rnacentral:lncRNA from 1 species
CCACAAACUUGCAGAGAAGUCAGAAUAUUACUUUCCAUAAUAUAUUACCGGUUGUCAUGAUUAACAUUUAUUGACGAUCUGCUAUGUUUCAGUCUCCAUAAUAAGAGUUUUCUCCGUCAUUUGUUUAAUCUACACAGGAGCUUUGCAAAAAAACUUAUUAUUGCUAUUUUAUAGAUAAAAUAUCAGAGAUGCAGAGUAUUUAUUUAUUUAUUUGAUUGUUUAGGACUGCAGCUGCGGCAUAUGGAAGUUCCCAAGUGAGGGACUGAAUCCAAGCUGUAGCUUCCAGCCUAGCCACAGCCACAGCAAUGUGGGAUCCAAGCCACAUCUGUGAACUAUGCCAUAGCUCAUGGCAAUGCCAGAUCGUUAACCCACUGAGUGAGGCCAGGGAUCGAACCCACAUACUCUUGCAUACUAGUCAGUUCGUUACUGCUGAGCCAUGAUGGGAACUCCCGAGGUAUGUCCAAUUUUAAAACCUAGAAUGUGCAUCAUCUUUGGGCUAGUGUCAGUGCUCCCAGGUAUUCUCUAUUCAUGUUAUUAUUUGUACUAUAAAAUGCAUUUUGCUGUGUUGAAAAUGGAAUAUGAUAGUGCUGCUGAAACAUGGCUUCCAUUUUUGUAUUUCCCAGGUUGACCCAGGUGUGAUUUAACAGGUAUUUCCUCAGGGGGAAUAAAGAAAGUAAGCCAUGCCACAUAACAACAAAAACCACUCUGUUAACGGAUUCUUGUAUCCACUUCAAAGAGCCUCUAUGCAUUUGGUUCUACUUCAUUAUCACUUUGGCAAAAACUAAUCAGAUGGAGUUAAAGAAAUGGCUGUGAAUGUCAUGUUGUAUCUUCAAUAAAUAGUACAAGGAUUAAAAUAAUCAUACAUUUCCACUUUCCUGAAAGUUACUAUAAAAUACUAUUCCACUGAAGCCAAAGAUGUCUGAAGUGGGAGGCAGUAGUGAUUCCCCCAUUACUUCCACCUUUUCUCUUUGUAGGACCACCGUACAUAUAACUUUCCCAGUGCAUAAUUUGCUUUGACCAACAAAGUGCAAACAAGAUUUUAUGUUUAUCAUUCUUGAUCUUGCCCUUCCUUUGAUACUCAUGGAAGUACACGUUGAUUCUGAGGUUCAUCCCUGAACUUUUGCCGAGAAGAUAGUUGCCUUCUACUGUUGCUAAGAGCCACACAGAUUUGAUGUGAGGGAGGGAAGAAAGUGUUGUCUUGAGGUAGUAAAAGUUGUUGGUUUGUAAUUUUUACAUAACUGAUACACUUGACAUAACAGGAUACCACAUCAGCACUGAGAAACAUUAUUUCACUAUUAUGUAGGAAGUGAAAAUUUUCAGGAAAAUUUAAGCAAUGACAAAAAUGGGCAUGUAUAAUCAUGUGUUUCCAUACAGAUAUUUACUGAUUACAUUUUGUUUACAAAUUAUAUUCUAAGUUAUGGUAGAAAUAUCAAGAAUGCAUUAAAUAUUAUAUCUAGCAAUAUUGUAACUACAUGAAUCAUAUGUUUUUCUAGUUCCUCUACAUCCUCAAAAUAUUGAAUGUAUUUUUUUUUUGUCUUUUUGCCAUUUCUUGGGUCGCUCCUGUGGCAUAUGGAGGUUCCCAGGCUAGGGGUCGAAUCCGAGCCAUAGCCGCCAGUCUAUGCCACAGCAAUGUGGGAUCCGAGCCGCGUCUGCAACCUUCACCACAGCCCAGGGCAACGCCGGAUCCUUGACCCACUGAGCAAGGCCAGGGAUCAAACCCGAAACCUCAUGGUUCCUAAUCGGAUUCGUUAACCACUGAGCCACGACGGAACUCCUACUGAAUGUAUUUUUGUAAUUUUAAAUUUGUUAUAAAUUCUCCCAGGUGUGUUAUAAAGAUUUAAAAUUGAAAUAGGGCUAAGAAAUAUUAUACACAUAUGUGUGUAUAAAUGUAUAUGUAAAUUAUUUACCAAAGGAAAAUACUGAUUGUUGGUUUCUUAUUAGGUUUAUUACAGUGAAAAAUAACACUAAAAUAAACCAGACAAAUAUUUGGCCAAAAUAAACUGUUAACUACUACCUACUUCUGCAUAAAUUUCAUCACCUUAACUGACAAAAAUAAUGAACUCACUAAAACAAAAUGCACAGUGAAUUCUGAAUUCUCAUAAACUUGAAUGUUUAAAAGUCAUUCUAUGGUGGCAUAUGAGCAACUGACACUUUCAUUUAUAAGGAUUACUUAUCAAUAUACGGAACUUUUAAAAAAAGUUUUUGUAUCAACACUCAUACUACAAAUAGCUUCAAAUCCUAACUCUGCCACACAGGAGAAGGAAGGGAAAAUAUCCAUGAUGAAAUAAAGCUAGCACCGGCUAGGUAACCCUAUAAUGGGUUCCUGAUGAUUAUUUUCUUCAGACUAAUGGUGUGAUGACCUCUCCUAACAUAUUUGACAAAAAAUAAUUUUCUGUAGAAAGACAUCCUGGACUUGCUCAAACUGCUGCCACAAAAGAAUUAACUACAUUAUGAUGGUCCUAUCAUGUACAGUGAAGGAAACAACCCAUUUCUUGCCAUAUGGUUGAUUUCACUGCUUGAGAAUACUUCAAUCAAAUUACCUCAGCUUUCAAUAAUCCUUCAUGACUGCAGUUCCAAAUAAACUAUUUCAUUUCAAAUGUCAAAAUACAUUUUAACAUGCAACAUUUGUUUAGUGAAUUUUUUUCAACAUUUAUAAUGCCACCAAUUUAGAAUUUUAAGUUAAUUAAAAAUGAAUGAAAUAUCUUCACUCAAAAUACCAUUGAAUGAAGCACAAAUAUUUUACCAUAUCUUUCUUAAAUGUUACAUGUUAUUGGGAUGAUGCUUGUACUUGGUGCAAAAAGAAAUGACA